rfam:Bacillus sp. SGD-V-76 genomic scaffold Scaffold23, whole genome shotgun sequence.
AGGGUAGUAUCGACAGAACUUCACCUGAUACUCUUUUUAUAAUUUAUCGUUUACGAACUGCCUUGAUCUAAAAAAGACUAGGACAGAGGG